UCCCCGAUAGUCUAGUGGUGAGGAUAUCUGCUUGUCACUGGGAAAUCCCACGAUACGCAGGGGACCGGGGUUCAAUUCCCCGUCGAGGAG
rnacentral:tRNA from 1 species